rnacentral:rRNA from 1 species
GGAUGCGAUCAUACCAGCACUAAAGCACCGGAUCCCAUCAGAACUCUGAAGUUAAUCGUGCUUGGGCGAGAGUAGUACUAGGAUGGGUGACCUCCUGGGAAGUCCACGUGUUCCAUUCC